UUCUCCCCGUCCCAGAGAUUGCGACAGCCUCGGUAAAACUGCUGGUACCUAAAGGGACUGUAAGAAAGGGACUGUAGAGAACGGAGGAGUAGUUGAGCUUCUAGACCCGGAAGCUGAUGGACCUGGGAAUAAGUCUCACUGUAAAAGAAGUCCUUUAUAAAGGAAGAAGACUGAAUGAAGGCAAUGCACCCAGGGAGAGAGAUGCUCUUGCUUCCAAAGAAAACGAUGACGAAGUUAAAGGAGAAAAUAAGUUACACGACAGUUUCCAAAAUGGUUCUUGCUUUCUGCUGAAGAUGGGCCGCCGCUGGGUUGUAAUACACUCACGGCCCCAGCUUGUGCUUUACAAGAAGAGGGAAUAUAACUAGACUGGUUAUUUUAGGUUAAAAUAGCCAAGAGACAGACGCUUUCGCCUCAAAAAUAUUCUGAGACACAUAAAAGUAGAAGGAACCAAGUCUCUUCAGUCACAAAAUGUCUUACAUCCAGCACAUACUAGAUUCAAUUAAUUUAAUAAAAUAGAAUAUACAUAGA